GAGUUUGAUCCUGGCUCAGGACGAACGCUGGCGGUGUGCUUCACACAUGCAAGUCGAGCGGAUGAAAACAGUAGCUUGCUACUGUUGGAUUUAGCGGCGGACGGGUGAGUAAUAUAUAGGAAUCUGCCCUAAUGCGGGGAACAACAGACCGAAAGGUCUGCUAAUGCCCCAUAGGUAUGCAGUCUUCGGAUUGUAUAUUAAAGGAGUAAUCCACUUUAGGAUGAGCCUGUAUCCGAUUAGCUUGUUGGCGGGGUAAUGGCCCACCAAGGCUACGAUCGGUAGUUGGUCUGAGAGGAUGAUCAGCCACAAUGGGACUGAGACACGGCCCAUACUCCUACGGGAGGCAGCAGUGGGGAAUUUUACACAAUGGGGGAAACCCUGAUGUAGCGACACCGCGUGAACGAAGAAGCCUUUUGGGGUGUAAAGUUCUGUCGGCUGGAACGAAAAAAAUGACGGUACCAGCAAAGGAAGCAUCGGCUAACUACGUGCCAGCAGCCGCGGUAAGACGUAGGAUGCGAGCGUUGUCCGGAUUUAUUGGGCGUAAAGAGUUCGUAGGCGGUUAUUUAAGUCUGAUGUUAAAUACUGUGGCCUAACCACAGAACUGCAUUGGAUACUGGAUGACUUGAGUGCGGUAGAGGCAAGUGGAAUUCCCAGUGUAGCGGUGAAAUGCGUAGAUAUUGGGAAGAACACCAGUGGCGUAAGCGACUUGCUGGCCCGUAACUGACGCUGAGGAACGAAAGCCAGGGGAGCGAAUGGGAUUAGAUACCCCAGUAGUCCUGGCCGUAAACGAUGGAUACUAGGCGUUGUGGGUAUCGACCCCUGCAGUGCCGCAGCUAACGCGAUAAG
rnacentral:rRNA from 1 species